rnacentral:tRNA from 1 species
GGAUUGUGGCUCAGUGGUAGAGCACUCACCUAGCACACGUGAGGCACUGCAUUCAAACCCCAGCAUCA